rnacentral:rRNA from 1 species
CUGUACUCCGAAUGCAUCUANUAUUAUGAGUUUGAUCAUGGCUCAGAAUCAACGCUGGCGGCGUGCCUAACACAUGCAAGUCGAACGCGAAAGUGGAGCAAUCCAUGAGUAGAGUGGCAAACGGGUGAGUAACGCGUGGGUGACCUGCCUUCGAGCGGGGGAUAACGUUCCGAAAGGGACGCUAAUACCGCAUGACAUCCUGCCUUUGAACAGGCGGAAAUCAAAGCUGGGGAUCGCAAGACCUAGCGCUCGAAGAGUGGGCCCGCGUCCGAUUAGCUAGUUGGUGAUGUGUAUACGGCGUCACCUAAGGCUAACGAUCUGGUAGCCGGCCUGAUGGAGGGCGGACAGGCCACACUGGGACUGAGACACUGGUCCCAGACUCCUACGGUGAGGCUAGCAGAUGCGAGGAAAUUUGUUCG